UACGAAGGCCCCGAGCGUUAUCCGGAAUUACUGGGCGUAAAGCGCAAGUAGUCGGUUAUUAUAGUCUGAUGUUAAAUCUCAUAGCUUAACUGUGAGGCCGCAUUAGAAACGUAAUGACUAGAGGAGAUCAGAGACAUGCGGAACGUGUGGUGUAGCGGUGAAAUGCGUUGAUAUCACACGGAACACCAAAAGCCAAGGCAGCAUGUUAGGGUUUUCCUGACGAUCAGUUGCGAAAGCGUGGGGAUCAAAAAGG
rnacentral:rRNA from 1 species